rnacentral:rRNA from 1 species
AUUGAACGCUGGCGGCAGGCCUAACACAUGCAAGUCGAGCGGAUGAAGGGAGCUUGCUCCUGGAUUCAGCGGCGGACGGGUGAGUAAUGCCUAGGAAUCUGCCUGGUAGUGGGGGAUAACGUCCGGAAACGGGCGCUAAUACCGCAUACGUCCUGAGGGAGAAAGUGGGGGAUCUUCGGACCUCACGCUAUCAGAUGAGCCUAGGUCGGAUUAGCUAGUUGGUGGGGUAAAGGCCUACCAAGGCGACGAUCCGUAACUGGUCUGAGAGGAUGAUCAGUCACACUGGAACUGAGACACGGUCCAGACUCCUACGGGAGGCAGCAGUGGGGAAUAUUGGACAAUGGGCGAAAGCCUGAUCCAGCCAUGCCGCGUGUGUGAAGAAGGUCUUCGGAUUGUAAAGCACUUUAAGUUGGGAGGAAGGGAAGUAAGUGAAUACCUUGCUGUUUUGACGUUACCAACAGAGUAAGCACCGGCUAACUUCGUG